GAUGAACGCUGGCGGCGUGCCUAAUACAUGCAAGUCGAGCGAACGGACGAGAAGCUUGCGUCUCUGAUGUUAGCGGCGGACGGGUGAGUAACACGUGGAUAACCUACCUAUAAGACUGGGAUAACUUCGGGAAACCGUAGCUAAUACCGGAUAAUAUUUUGAACCGCAUGGUUCAAAAGUGAAAGACGGUCUUGCUGUCACUUAUAGAUGGAUCCGCGCUGCAUUAGCUAGUUGGUAAGGUAACGGCUUACCAAGGCAACGAUGCAUAGCCGACCUGAGAGGGUGAUCGGCCACACUGGAACUGAGACACGGUCCAGACUCCUACGGGAGGCGGCAGUAGGGAAUCUUCCGCAAUGGGCGAAAGCCUGACGGAGCAACGCCGCGUGAGUGAUGAAGGUCUUCGGAUCGUAAAACUCUGUUAUUAGGGAAGAACAUAUGUGUAAGUAACUGUGCACAUCUUGACGGUACCUAAUCAGAAAGCCACGGCUAACUACGUG
rnacentral:rRNA from 1 species